rnacentral:lncRNA from 1 species
GGUUUAGAUAUGGGGAGGUUAUGUACCAAAAAACUUAUUCAAGCAUUAUAAUGAGUCGGGUUUGCUGGCGGUUGUAGCUGUUGGGGGUGGAAGGAAGUAGGUGGUUGGUUUUUUUUGCAGAAGUUGUUAGGUUUUUGUAUGGAUCUAACGGCGGUGAAGCGAAGUGAUGGCGGUAAAGAACAACGAGGUUUAAUAGUGACGGUUGAAGCCGGAGGAGACGGUCGUUGAGGGUUUGAGAGGUGAGGUGCGGUUGUGAAAUGGAGAUGGUUGACGAACGGAGGGAGCUAGCGGAUGUAUUCGGUUCAGUGGCCGGUCAUUUGGAGUGGGUUGUGGAAGGAGAUUUUCGGUGAGGGUUUCGUGGUGGUAGAUCAGAGAGAAAAAAGGUCGCGUGGUUUGAAGGUGAUGGUGGCGAGGGUUUGACGGCGGAAUGUUUAUGAGGGGUUGUGUCGUUAGCGGUGGUGAGUGGUUGAUGGUCGAUUGAAGAAGAAAAAGGAGAUGGUGAUGGUUCUGUGUGUGGGAAGUAGAUCGGAGGGUUUGAACAGACGGGGUAUGGUUGAAGUGGGAUUUCGGCAAGGUAACAGUAUAUUUGUUCUUUUUCCUUCCCAAUGAUUCGACGCAUCCUUUUAUAGGCGAAGUUUGUGGUCCCUCUGAGUAUAAGCUGGCUCGGAUUGCAUAAUUAUUCGGUUAGAAUUGGAUCAUUCCCAGAUUUGGUGGGGACCAAAUACGUGACAGGUAAGAAUCUCUCUCUCUGUAGUGUAAUCUCAAAUCCUUCUAGAACAUGUGGUCCCAUAGGAGAAAAUCUCACUGCUUGUUGUCACGUUAUGCUUGUUGUUUGUUGAACGCAGGAUCUCAUUGGCGGCAUGACAAGUCCUUAUUCUCUGCCUUGGUUGUGAAGCGGCUUACGUUUUGAAUUGAGAUUAGAGUGUGAGCAUCUAAGAAGGGUGAAAACGAUGGUGGACGUUAGCAUUCGUCCGCUUUCCGAGGCUUGGAUUUGUUUUUGAGAAGAAUUUCGGUUGAAUUUCCCCUGUGAAACUUUACUUGUUAGCUUCUUGAUUUUGGUUGAAAAUCCAACUUUCUGUAUGCAUUGCCGGUGUUUGUUUUUAUUUACUUUGGCUUGAUCUCUUGGCUCUCAUCAAGUCAAUUGUUCAUGCUGCUGGAUUGUACAUGUUUGUGUGUAUGAAUUACUAUUAUGUAACCUUUACUCACACACUUGAUUUUGCAGGUUGCACUUGUGAAAUUAGUUUGCAGGUUCAACAGUACUGAAUGGAUCUCCUCUUGCAAGCUUAAGUUUAUUUUUGAAAGUGGUAUUUGAGAAGAGUGAACUUAUUAGCUCAUUAUGCAUUCCUGUUCUUCGGAUAACUUGCAGGAAAGGCCCCCAUUAGGUUGAAGCAAUUUCGUCUGCUAUUUGGAUGAGUCAGAGGUAUCUAUUUAAAAACUGCACAACCUAAACGUUCCUGUACUUUCAGAAUCCAUGUACCUUUGUAGCAUGAAUUUGUGUUGUUGCUUGGUACUUUUGAGUUUGAUCUGGUAUACGACUUACCGCAGAUUUUGAUGUUACCACUGAUGUGUUGUAGAGUACUGAUUAUCUCAUUCCUAUUGGUAAGCCUGUGGUACUAUCUGGCGGCAAUCCUCCAAGAAGAUUGACAAAUGCUGCAGGUAUCAUCGCCUACAGAGUUUAAACCAUGUAUUUGAUUGUUUUGUAUGAUGAUGUUACCGGUGUAUUCAAUCCGUGUUGGUAACCUGCUGCAGGUUUUGGUUGCAUUUACCCUGAACAUUGUUUAGAUGGCAUGUUCAUGUUUUAAUUUUAUGUUAUGCAUUUCUAGAUUAUGCUGCAGUAGAAAGCAAUUUAGCCGACGACUGUCGUGGGCCCUGCCCUUGAUUAAUAAUCCAACUCAAUUGCAGCUAAAUUUCCAACAGAUGUGCCCUCCACAAUGCUCACUUGACUAGCUGGAUUGGGCAUGGGGGAACCAAAUGGUGGUUCUGAUGAUUUCCACUCAGAAAACGCGGUAUGAGCAAUUGCUAACACACUAAUUAAAUCCAUAGAUCCUUGAGAUAUUGAGGUGCUUGUACUAACUUGAGAAGCACUAUUUCCAGGACCUUGAUCAAUUUUAAGUGAAUCAGGUUAAGAUGCAUUUAAUAACUCAAAAUGCACCUGCAGUUGGUGAUGGUUGGGAGCAACGGCAGCAGGCUGUGCUGGUGUAGCUAUAUGACCUGAAAUAUACGGGGAAACCGGUGGCUUGGGUGGUUCGCUUGGAUCUAUACCAGAUCCAAAACAUAAAGCUUGCCCCUGCAUCAUUUGUGUGUUUUGAUUAACUUUCUCAACAGGUUGGCUUCCUGAAGCAGUUGCCUUUCCUUUGCCAAUCGGAUUGCAUAUGCCUGUUGUGAAUUUGAGGCAUGGUUUUGUAUAUGAUGUACUGAUGCUUAGGUCAUGUACUUUGGUCAUUGUAUUGUGUAUGUCAGCAUGUGAGUUGGUUUUUGGUUGUAAUGAGAAUGGACAAGGUUUAUGUGUUUUGGUUAUAAUAAUUUAUGUAAUGACAGUUUGGCUUUUGAAAUGAACAUGGUU